GUAGUCCUGGCCCUAAACGAUGUCCACUAGAUCGCGGUGGGUUUGACCCCAUCGCGGUCGAAGCAAAAGUGUUAAGUGGACCGCCUGGGAAGUACGGUCGCAAGGCUAAAACUCAAAGGAAUUGACGGGGGCUCACACAAGCGGUGGAGCAUGUGGUUCAAUUCGAAGCAACGCGCAGAACCUUACCUGGGCUUGACAUGCUCGGAUUAUCCCGGUGAAAGCCGGGUAGGCCCCGCAAGGGGUACAACGAGUACAGGUGCUGCAUGGCUGUCGUCAGCUCGUGUCGUGAGAUGUCGGGUUAAGUCCCUUAACGAGCGAAACCUUUACCCUUAGUUACCAGCGGGUUAUGCCGGGGACUCUAAGGGGACCGCCGGUGUCAAACCGGA
rnacentral:rRNA from 1 species